UCUGGUUGAUCCUGCCGGACCCCACUGCUAUCGGGAUAGGACUAAGACAUGCUAGUCGAGUGAUUCAGGCAAAACGAGUCACGGCACACAGCUCAGUAACACGUGGCUAAUCUGCCCUUAGGACGAGAACAACCCCGGGAAACUGGGGCUAACUCUCGAUAGGCGAAGAACUCUGGAAUGAGUCUUUACCUAAAUAGUGCAACGUUAUCCUCGUUGCAUCGCCUAAGGAUGAGGCCGCGACCGAUCAGGUUGUUGGUGAGGUAAUGGCUCACCAAGCCUUUUACCGGUGCGGGCCGUGAGAGCGGGAGCCCGGAGAUGGGCACUGAGACAAGGGCCCAGGCCCUACGGGGCGCAGCAGUCGCGAAAACUUUGCAAUAAGCGAAAGCUUGACAGGGCUAUCCCGAGUGCCAUCCGCUGAGGAAGGCUUUUACCCAGUCUAGAACGCUGGGGGAAUAAGGAGAGGGCAAGUCUGGUGUCAGCCGCCGCGGUAAUACCAGCUCUUCGAGUGGUGUGGAUGUUUAUUGGGCCUAAAGCAUCCGUAGCUGGCUAAGUUAGUCCCUUGUUAAAUCCACCGAAUUAAUCGUUGGAUUGCGGGGGAUACUGCUUGGCUAGGGGACGAGAGAGGCAGACGGUAUUUUCGGGGUAGGGGUGAAAUCCUAUAAUCCCGGGAAGACCACCAGUGGCGAAGGCUGUCUGCUAGAACGCGCCCGACGGUGAGGGAUGAAAGCUGGGGGAGCGAACCGGAUUAGAUACCCGGGUAGUCCCAGCUGUAAACGAUGCACGCUAGGUGUUUGGACGGCCACGUGCCGUUCUAGUGCCGCAGGGAAGCUGUUAAGCCUGCCGCCUGGGGAGUACGAUCGCAAGAUUGAAACUUAAGGAAUUGGCGGGGGAGCA
rnacentral:rRNA from 1 species